AUACCUUUCUCGGCCUUUUGGCUAAGAUCAAGUGUAGUAUCUGUUCUUAUCAGUUUAAUAUCUGAUAUGUGGGGAUAUUAACUCUAUUUUUUUAGGGAGGAAAACUCGUCAAGAUAGCUUGCUAUUUGGGUUUCUGUGAAUCGUUCAUGCGUUGCACUAGUGCACGGGACUGGCUCAACCCAC
rnacentral:snRNA from 2 species